rnacentral:lncRNA from 1 species
AUGGCACCCUGCAUGGUGUCUGGAGAAUACCAGGUGCCAGAAACAGUGAUGGGAGAAGGUGGAGGCAGAUACAGGUUGAAACACUGGAUCCAAAUCAUUUGUAGAUUAAGGAAAAAAUUAUAUGCAUUUAUUUGAUUCCAGCUGGCUGCAACCUCUAUUACCAAGUAGUAAAGAGACUAAAUGCAACUGGCAUCAAGUUUAAAGAAACUUGAUAUCUAAGCCCGACUUUCACUCUUAAGCUCAUUUUUCUUAGGUACAUUUCAAACACCAGAAUCAUUCUUAUCAAUGACAACAGCACCCUUUAUUGAUAUGGGAGAAUAUGCUUCAAGAACACUCUUGGGAGGAGGGCUCACACAAACUUAUUGAAAACCUCAGAACUGGUGAAAUGGCCCAUAACACACGCAGACUUUUUUCCCCUACACCAGUCUCUGCAUCAUAGAAGGAGGUGGUAUUUGUAGUUUCCUGUACUAAGAUAGCCUGACUCAUACCUAAAGCAAUGUCUCACUCCUCAAUGCAGUGUGUUGUGGUUUUUAGAGUAGCCUCAGACAGGCAGACCGAGAAAAUCCACAAAACAGGAAGACAAAUGAAUCGACUAGUGAGUCCAGCAUCAUGAUCAGUUUUCGGGUCUACAAAAUGCUUUCUGAUCUUGGUCUUGCCAGAGCUGGUUGUUUAAAAGUUGAUGAAGGCAUGCAUGAAAGCUCUCAGAAUAAAUAACCCUGUUUCUUUUGUAAAAGUGUAUUC